AUGAACGCUGGCGGCGUGCCUAAUACAUGCAAGUCGAGCGAACAGACGAGGAGCUUGCUCCUUUGACGUUAGCGGCGGACGGGUGAGUAACACGUGGGUAACCUACCUAUAAGACUGGGAUAACUUCGGGAAACCGGAGCUAAUACCGGAUAAUAUUUCGAACCGCAUGGUUCGAUAGUGAAAGAUGGCUCUGCCAUCACUUAUAGAUGGACCUGCGCCGUAUUAGCUAGUUGGUAAGGUAACGGCUUACCAAGGCAACGAUACGUAGCCGACCUGAGAGGGUGAUCGGCCACACUGGAACUGAGACACGGUCCAGACUCCUACGGGAGGCAGCAGUAGGGAAUCUUCCGCAAUGGGCGAAAGCCUGACGGAGCAACGCCGCGUGAGUGAUGAAGGUCUUCGGAUCGUAAAACUCUGUUAUUAGGGAAGAACAAACGUGUAAGUAACUGUGCACGUCUUGACGGUACCUAAUCAGAAAGCCACGGCUAACUACGUG
rnacentral:rRNA from 1 species